ACUCCUGCACAUAUAUAGCACUGAGCGCGGCCUCUUUCCUGUUUUUGAGCAGAGCACGACACACAAUGCAAAGCUUUUUAAACAGCGCCUUUGCAUGCUAGUUUCACUAAAUAUAAAAGAAGAAGCUGCUCUUUUGAACUCACUGAGCAGCGUGCCGUGCUGCACAGGCUACUCAGUAAGAUGGCUUCAGUCGCCAAGGGGACUGCUGUCCGACAGAUCCUCACCACCAGGCUCAAGAAACUGAACACAGAUCAAUUUAAAAAGUUCAAACGUUUGCUGUGCAAGACACCCAUGAAUGAGCUUGUCUGUGAAUUUGAUUACUACGACAAACCCAAUACAUUCCAGAGGAACGCCAGCCUGGAAGAGGUUGUCGAGGCUUUGAUACAGAAUUUGGGCCGGACUUACGCCUUGAGGGCAGCUGCGACAGUGAUGGAAAAGGUACCGCAAAGGGAACUUGCUCAAGAACUCGCCAGAGAAGCAGGAGACCUGCAACCGAGCCGCCAUGGACUGGAAAAAAAACCAAAAGGAAAACUAAAAGGUUUAACACUUAUAGGAGCUGGAACUGGAGGAAUAUAUCUUGGAUAUCUUGCAGCAUCAGCAGCUGGAGCAUCUGUAAUGGGACCAGUUAUACUUGCAAUAACAUCAGGUGCAGCAAUAUUGAAGGGAAUAAAAUUACUCUGUAACUGACAGUGAAGCCGCUGUAGGACAAGGGAACCAUCUGGAAGGACCUGAAACCUGUUUGUUUCCAUUCGAAAGUUUUCAUGCAGCAUCUUCUUUGCGGGCACCAAUUUAGUCCCGAAGGUAACUGGAGACUUUGUGUUUCUCUCGACGCCGGUUUCUCUUGCACCCUUAUCUAAGAUUUUCCCUUCACUUCAUCCUGCCCCCGGCUUCCUUCGAAGACAUCCCGGAGUUGGAAAGCCACAGCCGCAAGUUUGCUGAUCCUAGCCCUCUAUAGAAUUAGAUAAACCGGCAAUUGCUUCCCACGCCUGCCUGCGAGCAAUUCAUACUCUUGCGCCUUCUUGCAUUGUGCCUGGCUGCUCGGGUGUUGGAAACCUGCAAAGAUGGUUGGAAUUUUUCCCAGAAAAAAAAAAGGGGAGAUCAAAUAAAACACCCUUUUUAAUA